rnacentral:rRNA from 1 species
UGGGGAAUAUUGGACAAUGGGCGGAAGCCUGAUCCAGCCAUGCCGCGGGUGUGAAGAAGGCCUUUUGGUUGUAAAGCACUUUAAGCGAGGAGGAGGCUACUUGGAUUAAUACUCUAGGAUAGUGGACGUUACUCGCAGAAUAAGCACCGGCUAACUCUGUGCCAGCAGCCGCGGUAAUACAGAGGGUGCGAGCGUUAAUCGGAUUUACUGGGCGUAAAGCGUGCGUAGGCGGCUUCUUAAGUCGGAUGUGAAAUCCCUGGGCUUAACUUAGGAAUUGCAUUCGAUACUGGGAAGCUAGAGUAUGGGAGAGGAUGGUAGAAUUCCAGGUGUAGCGGUAAAAUGCGUAGAGAUCUGGAGGAAUACCGAUGGCGAAGGCAGCCAUCUGGCCUAAUACUGACGCUGAGGUACGAAAGCAUGGGGAGCAAACAGG